UUCCUGGGGCGGCUGGUUCCUCUAGGCACGUUGUUCCUCCACUUUCAGAAGCCUGGGCUAGCCCCAACUCUUAGGCUGCCCAGUCCUGUUUCUAGUACUAAUUUAAAUCUAUGGCUCGAGCCUGUAACUAAAAACCAAAUCCAU
rfam:Oryctolagus cuniculus chromosome 10, whole genome shotgun sequence.